GGCUGGUUUGAAGGUAGUGAGGUAUCUCACGCUAUUGUUCACAGUCAGUUACAGAUUGAAUUCCUUGUUCUACUACUUCCCCCUCCUCGCUACUACACUUGACUAGUCUUAA
rnacentral:Y_RNA from 1 species